UAUGAGCCUAGUCAUAUAUCAGAACAGCAGACCAUAUAUAUAUGUGUGAUAGCAGCAGACCUUCUUGAAGCGAUACGAAUUGAGGUAUGUUAAAUAAUCUGCUAGAGUUAUUGUUGUUGAUUGUAUUGUAAUGAUGCAACAUUUAUUAUUUAUAAACGAUUAAUGUGAUAUCAAUUCAAAAGAUGGGUCAAGUACCUGAUUGAGUCAGAUGUUCUGUCUGACUCAAACUUAGCUAACCGCGUGUAGGUCAAGCUGCCCCUAGUCUUCUCUUUACCCGCGUUUACCCGUCUCACUCACAUUUAAAAUUAAUUACAUUUUUAUUUUUAUCUUGUUGUCUGUCUUUAGCUUGCUAUGGCUUCUUCUGGUAAGACCCUGUUUACUCCUUGCAUUUAAACAUACUCCACAUGGUUUUUGGAGCAACAUUAGAGUGAAUAUUCACAAAUGAUCGACAGGUUUUGGGCUAUGCUAGGGAGAGAUGGAAGAUUCCAGACUCUGGUGCAUUUAAUGAAGGCACUUUUGUGUGUGCCACACAGCAAUGCAUCAUCAGAGAGGGUGUUCAGCAUGGUUAGAAAGAUAGUGACAGAG
ensembl:lncRNA